UUGCUACUUAACGCAAGUGCUAUCUCCGGACUAUCGAUAUUCGAAAUGUCAUUGACAUGUCAUAGUUUUCAAUUGUUUGGUUGAUUUAAAUUAUAAUGUCCGUGUUACAACAACAUUAUUAGGUAAUUAGUUUUAACGAAAAAAAGAUUAACAAUGCCAUUUAGUUUCCUUAAAUGUACUUAGCCAUACCCCGAAGUUAAAGGAGUUUAAAGAACAGCGUGUAAGUAUUAUUGCACAAACAUGUUAAUGAAAUUCAGUUUUAAGUCAAUAGGUGCGUCAGAAGCAAAGAUACAUUGACUAAGUAAGAUGCGUAAAAUCUAAGACAAUUUCGUGCUUCGAAUUUGAUAGGUAUGUAAACAAGAUGGCGCCGUACAGCUCGAUACAGUUUGCGGUAACUCUGAUUAUACAAAGUUGACGUUUGACAUUUCAGUGACCACAAGACAUGGCGCAGUUCAGCGCCAUCUCUUUUGAAUGUCAAACUAAGGGGCACGUUUUUUCUUAGACUUUAUCUCUCUAUUACAAUCAAUUCUCUUUGGUCAGAAGUAUUUGCGUACUUUCCACCAACAAUAAUUAAAUAAGUACCUAAUUGUUAUUUAUCGACCGCAGUGUUAAAUCCCUGGCACAGCAAUAUAUAGUUGGUGUGUAUUAUAACAUUUAUAACCUGCUUUGAUGAAAAAUCUCUGUACACCCGGAUCAGAACUAAAAUAACACACACAGUUGCGUGUACCGAACAAAUGACAAAAUAGAUACAAAGGGUUAUCACAAGUCAACUUACGAGAGACAAAACUUCUGUUUUGGGGCGGAGAUACGAUUAUAAUGAAGUAAUAAAAUAUCAAGGAGUUUCAUGACAUUAGUGCUGGGAUAAAUGUCUAAAUUAAUUAAUUAAUAUUUGGAUACAAUCUUACAAAGCUUGUACUAUGGGUACUAGGCGACGAUAUACAUUCGUAUAUACUCAUAGGUAAAUACGGUGUAUACUUAUAUACAUAAAAAACACCCAUGACUCAGGAACACUGUGUUCAUCACACAAAUAAAUGCCCUUACCGGGAUUCGAACCGAACAUCGGCUUGAUAGGCAGGGUCACUCACUACCCACUACGCCAGACCAAUCGUCAAAGUAUAUUGAUUUUAUUUAACGCCACGUCAUGUUGCGAUACUUUAUUAAAGUACAAAAAAUAAAAUGUAAGAUAAAACUUUAGUGCCAUAAUUUAGGUGCAUUUCUACGAAUAGUCUGAAUAAUGUUUAUCAAGAUUAAACAAAAAUCGUAAAAACGCACCACUCACGUUUUUUACUUUCAGCUAAGUCUAAACAGAAUGCUUCACAAGAGAUCGGUAAAAAUAAAUAUUUCAGGCUUUCUUUAUUACAAGCGCGUGAUAAAUUUUUACAUCUCCCCUUGCCGGGAAAAAAUGUUUUUGCCGACAAAAGUUUUUGCCUCUUAUCGACAAAAGUGCGUGAUGGUGGUACGAUUACGAGUAUCUACGUGGCAGGUCCAGUCACGUAGCCAAUCGUACCUACGUUACACUUACCGGGUUUUCUGACCACAGGUAGGGACUAACCUAAAAACCGUGUUGGCUAAUCGUGACGCGCGCGACUGACGUAAAUCCCUUUUGCUUCAUUAGAGGUACUCUUAAAUGUGACGACUAUUUACACGUUCAUUGUACUGCGAUGUUACUGACCAAUGACUCAUCUAGAGAGCCUUGACAUGCUGAAGGUUUUUCCCAGAAACUUUGCCAAGGGCUAUGUACCUAACUCAAUUUAACUCCCUAUGAAAAAAAAACAACGUGUUUUGUAAUAAAAGUAACGAAAAAAUGUUACUAUAUUCAUUGCCUAAUCCGAUAAUGCUUUAUAAUUAUAUGAAAAAUUAUUCGAUUUUCGCUUAUUAUCGCGCAGCGCAUUAUGUACCUAAGUAUUUUAUUAUUAUCCUUAAAUAAUAAUGAUAAACCUUGAGAGUGUAUAUAUCUAGUAUGUAAAUACCCUGAAUAUUUAGAUAGAUACCUACUUAUUAAACGAACUAGUCAGCUAUGAGAAAUAAAAAAUAGCUGAUAUUUAUUGACCAAUUUAGGAACCUAUCUGUUAGUGACGUAAGUACGAUACACCUAGUUCUUAAAGAUUAUAUAUCCUUGGGAGUUGUCCAUUCCAAAUUGAUCUACUUAUCAACAUUGUUGUAAAUACAAGAACAAAAAGUGGAAUCGUCCACUUAUUCCGUAUAUCAAUUGUUGUCGGUUGACUAACAAUCAUUAACUAGGCAAUUUUAUUAUCGCCAACAUGACUGAUGAUAAUCUCACGGCAUCUUUCAAGCCAAAAAAUCAUCGACGAGUAUGUAUCUAAUCAUGAACGAAUGGAUCACAUUACAGAGUAGGUACAGUUAAUACUUGCUCCGUCGCAGAAUUAUUAAAUAUUUAUUUAGAAAAUAACUAAACUAUUUCAUUUAAAUUAACUAUUUAUUUUCUAAUAUUCAGAAAACAAUAGAAAUAAAUUUUCCUUUGUUUAAAAUAUUGUUUGUAGUAGGGCCUACCUAUGGUGCACUCUGGUAAAUAAAAACAUAUAUAUUUGAUUCCUUUUUACUGGUUGUAUUCGAUUUACCAUUAUAUAUUGCAUACAAUCUAGCUUAUAUGUGCGCGAUGCUUAACCGCCAUUAAAAUAUUUACGCAUGAAAAUCCGUAUCCGUAAGAAACUGUUUAUUUGAAAAAAACCCCCUUCGUCAGAAACAAAAGUAUUUAUUAAUUAUUGUUUUCAUUUGUGAUCGUUAGAAUCGAUCAUAAUAUUAUCGUACCUAUUAGGUUAUGACCCGCGCUCAUACGCAAGUGGCCAGUUCUUAUAUAAAGGCACGCGCGACGCGCCCACUUCAGAACCGCAUUGACACUCGUCGAACGCGCUACUGUGACUGUGAAGUGCUUUGGAAGUGCAGUGACCAUGUUUACCAAUCCAUUUGAGAGGAAGCACUCGGCGCUGAGGCAAGUCUUAGACCGCUUCAUCGGGAAGGAGGCCAGGCUCAGCUUUCGCAAGAAGAAGGACCUAACCAAGAUCGGAGGGACUGUGUCUGGGAGCACGUCCUCGGUGGCGUCGUCCUCCAGCUCGGAGUUCAUGCCCCGCUUCACCAGGCAGAGAUGAAGGAGUCUGUGGCGAAUUGAUACCAGUGAAUAAUUUUGGAGAUGCUGUUAUUAUGAACAGAACGAUGGGACCUGUCUGUUGACGUCAGAACAGGGAACCGGCUGCCGAUGCUGACGAGUAACGGUCGCUACACUAGGAUGUGUGUUUGUUGCAAUAAAAUUAAUUAACUGAC